GUUGGAUAACCAGCAACUUCUGCAGCUACAGUUCACAGUUGCUUGUUAACGGGAUAGUGUGUCGUCAGAGCCACAUCAAGAUAGGAGGGAUUUUUUUCAGAUGACCGGGAGAGGGCGCUAGUGAAAGGUGGCACUCGUUGACGGCUAGAGCGCUGCACGCGGCUGUGAGGCGGUGAGAGCGAGCCAGAGAGCAAACGGCUUCUGCGAUACCUAACUAGCAGACGACAAUCGAGAGAAGCGCGGGAAGGAUUAAAACAUCAGGAGUGUCAACAUGCGAUUUCAAAACUUCGCACUCCAAUAAAGAUUUCUCAGAUCUCUUGAUCUACGAACAGCGCUAUCAUGCUGUCUUGCAUUGGACUGAUCCCAAGAGGCUCAAACACUACAGGAAGGGCAAUGCUAUCCGUAGCAUUGGAAACAAGCUGGAGGAUGCUCACAGAAGCGUGUUUUUCAUCAAAGGGCAAUGUUACAAAGGGAACAUGACUUGUAAACAAAACAACUUUCUCCUGAUCGUAGCUGGACUGUUGACUGCUUCAGGACAGGAAUGAGUAUGGUUGCUCUGGUUGUGGUACUGUGCAUUGUUUGUGGGGUGGCUUCCAACACAGAGACAAAACAGGAUGUAUACAUAGCGGGGUUGUUCCCUACGGACGAGAACAUCCCCGAGGGAGCUAUUGGACGGGGUGUCAGACCCGCAGUGGAACUAGCAUUGCAGCAUAUCAAUAACCAUUCCGGAAUACUCGACCGCUAUAACCUCAAGAUGACUUGGAAUGACACAAAGUGUGACAUGGCGAUGGCAACGCGGGUGUUUUUCGAUAUGAUGGAUGAUCACAACUCUACCAAGGUGAUCCUCUUCGGAGACGCCUGCUUCCAAGUGACGGGGCCGAUCUCUCAGAUUUCCAAAUACUGGAAUAUGUUCCAGCUCUCCUACGCCGACACGAACCCACUGCUGUCAGAGAGGGAUAAAUACCCAUUCUUCUUCAGGACGGUACCCAGUGACUCUGACUUCAACCCAGCGAGAUUGGCGCUCUUAAGGAGCUUCAACUGGACACGUGUGGGGACGCUGUUCCAGUUUGAUCCCAAAGGUUCAGCCAAGUACAAUUACGCACACAACCGCUUGGUGACACUCCUAGAAAAGACAAACAUAAAGAUUGACCAGGAACAGAGUUUCGCCGUGGACCCGGAAGCGGCAUUAGAAAAAUUAAAAGCGGAGGAUAUACGGAUAAUACUGGGGAACUUUGACGAAAGCACCGCCAGACGGGUCUUCUGUACCGCUCACAAGAAACAAAUGUACGGCGCUCGCUACCAGUGGAUGAUUGUUGGAGAGUACGAGGAUGUGGGAUGGUGGAGAAAACCUGACUCGAAGAUCACGUGCACAAAGUCGGAAAUGAAUGAUACGGUGCACGGUUGCCUAACAACUGACCUCCUGGAGCUGAGCAGAAGUAACGAAACAACUGUCUCAGGAUUGCGUCCAGCGGCUUACGAAGCUCUCUAUAAAGAGUGGAGCGGUACACAGUUCAGCAAGUUUCACGGCUACGCCUACGACGGUGUGUGGGUGAUCGCCAAAGCCAUCGACUCUCUUCUUGUGGGUACCAGCCCGAACCUCAUCUCGGAGGACACGUUCAGAGGGCCCAACGUCGGCAAGGUGCUCAAUGAGACGAACUUCCUCGGAGUGACGGGCAGGGUUCAAUUCAACAAUGGCGAUCGUCUCGGGCAGAUCCGCAUCCGGCAAAUCACAGAUGGGAAAAUGGUGGAUAUAGGUGAAUACCACGCCUCAACAGAUAGUCUCGACUUUCACCGUGAAAUCCAGUGGAGAGGAAGUGGGCCUCCCAAAGACCGGAACAUUGAGUACCCGGAGAUGCGCAGGGUGUCUGUGGCCGUGUACAGUAGCCUGUGUGUGUUGGCUGCCCUCGGUAUCAUCAUGGCAGUGGGCUUUCUGACACUCAACAUUCUGUACAGAAGACACAGAUAUAUCAAGAUGUCGAGUCCAAAUAUGAACAACCUGAUUAUCAUUGGAUGUAUCCUGUGUUACCUCAGUGUGUUCCUGUUGGGAACGGACGGUGGAGUUGUCUCCCCUUCAUUGUUCCGCUAUUUGUGUCAGAUCCGUGCCUGGGUGCUAGCUUUGGGCUUCACUUUAGCAUUUGGGGCCAUGUUCAGUAAGACGUGGAGGGUACACGCUAUUUUCACCAACAUCAAACUCAAUAAGAAGGUGAUCAAGGACUACAAGCUGUUUCUGAUCGUGUGUGUGUUGGUGUUACUGGAUGCUGUCAUCCUUGUGGCCUGGCAAGUGUACGACCCCAUACAGAGGGCCGAGAAAGACCUGGCGCCGGAGGUUUAUGAUGACUACAGUGUAACACCUGUGUUAGAAUACUGCAAGAGCGAAUUUAUGGAGAUCUGGUUGGGAUCUAUAUAUGCAUAUAAAGGUCUGCUCCUAGUAUUUGGUUGUUUUCUGGCGUGGGAAACACGACACGUGAGCAUCCCCGCGUUGAACGACUCCAAGUACAUCGGCAUGAGCGUGUACAACGUGGUCAUUAUGUGCGUAUGCGGGGGUGCCGUGUCCUUCCUCAUCAAGGACCAACCCAACUCCUUCUUCAUCAUCAUUAGCCUCUGUAUCCUGUUCUGUACAACAAUCACACUGUGCCUUGUCUUUAUGCCAAAGAUGAUUACACUGCGGCGGAACCCGAAAGGUAACGACACGCGUGUUCGAGCAACGCUGAAGAAGACGUCGAAGAAAGACGCCAUAGAUAGCAGCGAACUCCAGCUGAAAAUUAGAACUAUAGGAGAUGAAAAUAGGAAAUUAAGAGAGAUUUUAGCUCAACGAGCCUCCGAGAUAGAGCAUAUACUGGAGCAGCUAGGCGAGGAGGCGUCAUCGUAUGACCUGGGCAUCAGAUCCGCCGUGCACAAGAAGGUGCUGGAGCUCAGGGUCUCGGAUGUCUCGCCUAGCAAAAUAUCUCGUUCUUCCAGUGCCUCUGAGGCUGACUGCACCUCCACGUACUCCGAGGUCAGUGGCACCACGAGUCUGUGGGCCGACUCCCCGCCCCCGGCGAGGACCUCCAAAGUCCGAUUACUCACUGACAGACUUCGACCAGAGGUGAUAGAGCUAGCGGAUCUCAGAAACAAGGGUAUGACUUCGCGCACCUGCAACGUGUUAUCUCCGGCCGAGGAGGAGGAUGACGACGAUGACCCGUUCGGAGGUGUCUAUCUGGGACCUCCUGAAUUAGACAUACCUAAAGCUAAAGUUAAUUUUGAUAGCAUGCCUGAUAGAAUAGCAAAAGAAGAGCACCCAACAGUAGAAAGCAUAGCUCGCCCUUCCUGCUCCAGGCUUCGCGCAGACUCGGACGUUUCCUCGGAGACUGAUCAAGAUCGCAGUGAGCCAAUCAGCGUUCCCAGUCUACAAGGUCUGCGCAUGUGCAAGCGAACCCUAUUUCCUAUCUUGACUUUCUGUCACUAAUAUUAAGGCAGUAUGAGAUUGUGCUGAAAGGACAUUGUUAUGUUUCACAGGAACCAUUGUGAAAAUAACACUGAACCUCCGUGCCCAAUCGUACACUGCCUGCACUAACAAACAACUGUGGAAUGUACUUAAAUACUAGUAUAUGAGUAUCUCCUAACGUGUGGUAUAUAUAGAUGUUGUGUGCAUGGAAUCUUACUAUGGUUAUCGUGUGUCGUAGCGUAUAUAUAUAUAUAUAUUACUUACUAAUACAAUUAUAUCAAAAUUGAAAACGAAAAUUGAAAUAUUGAACACACAAAAAUACGUUUGAUUUAAAACAAUACCAGUUUCUUAUGCAAUCAUAUAAAUUCAAAAGUUAAAACGUUGAAUACAUCUAAAUAAUAAACGUUUGUUUUAAACAUUCUACAAUAAUCUACACAGACAGAUACUUUAGACAUACAAUUUUAAAAAACAAUAUUUGCCAUGAUGUGAUGCCGCACGCCAUAUAAAGAUAAUACUGUCUGGAGGCGGAGGAGGACGCCCGAUAUCCUAAAAGUGUUUUCUCAGGGAUGAGGAUGAGGGAUGGAAUAGAGACUUGCUGACAGAGUUCCUUAAGAUGAAGCUGUUCGGGUGUGACCUAUGACGUUAUGCCCGGCUAUGUAGACAGGAUUGUGGUCAAGAGUUCCUUUAGAUCUUGACACGAGUUAGGCGAGAAAUAUCGGCCAUUGAUGUUACAGGUCACGGACGCACCUUCCAGGGUAUAUCUUCCUCUUAAUUACGUUUGUCUAGUUAAUUACAUCGAUGUCGCGCUAACGUCACUCGGCAGGCAAAUCUCUUUGUUUGAGUAGACUGACUCAGCCCUGGCAGAAACGGGCCAUUAAUCACACACGCUGUGUGUAAUGGAAUUAUGACAAUAUCGCCGUAGCCGUAAAGUGGUCGCACGCGUAGUAAUCGACCGGAAAAUGGUCGUAAUUGUCGUGAGAUAGAUUAAAGCCAAGCGAGACAUCGGCAGGAACAAAACAAGACAAAUAUGUGAAACGCCGUCCAGAAAGAGGUCGAUUUGAUCCCUCAGUCCGUCUAAGCCUUCAAAGAGGCAAUUAUGACUCUUCAUGAUCAGUGAUUCGACCAUAUAUCCACUAACAGUAAUAGACUCUUCUUUUUAGUAAAAUUAUCCAAGUGAAACACAGACGGAAAGCUCCAGAUUGCUCUGUAACGAAACAUAAGACUUCAAUGUUCAAUGUUAAUCUCUAUUUGCCGCCGGAGGAUUAUCAGUUUACAAACUUUCGUUGAUGCAACUGUCACGACAUCACCCUGAGCAACACGUGAAGCGACUGACUGAAAACGUAUUGGUUAACCUUCACCAACAACUUGGUCUGUAUUUCGUUCACGAAGCUGUGUUUUUUCAAUCAAUAUUUUUUCAUACAAGUCAUCUGACCUCGGAUAUAAUUACGGUGCCUUCAUCGUUGAAAAUUUGAAUAGAAACCUAAUUUUCGUCGUCUCAAACGAAAAUAAAUUUCGAAUGUUACGCAGCUGGUUUCUGAUGGUGACAAAGCAUCAUGAAUAAUGGGAUGAUACAUGUGGCACUGCGCACAGUCGAAGAUGGCAUAAUGUGAUUAGACGCACAUAAAGAGAAAAGUCGACUGGAUUAUUUCCAAGCAUAUUUGAUAAAUAUGAAUAUUACACCAAUGGCAGUUACCCAGCAACCGUUUAUGUAAGUCCUGACAUAACACGCGAAAAAUGCACAAUAUGCAACUUCAACAUGACAUAUGCAACUCGCAAACAUCUGCCGGAUCCAUAAUUAUCAUCAUACUCAAGAACUUGAAACCUCCUCAAUCCGGAGUGUUAAUAUACUAGUAUCCGGUUUAAGGAGGUAUAUAUACCCAUUUGUCAAUUACGUCGGCAUGCCAGUUUCUGAAUUUUUUGUUUCAGACUGAAUGCAAUUUGGUACGAUUUGUGUGCGUGGUUUGACUUUAAAUCAUACAACUCAUUCAUUCACGCUAUGUACGUGCAUUUCAUGUUCUGCUUUGUGAAUUCUGCAUGAUCACGUGACUUACCAUUUCAGCAUGUAAUAUAAGGACCUUACAUUUAUUUAGCUGAAAGCCAUCCAUACGAAACUAUUCAGGCUGUAAUCUCCAGUUUUUAUAUAAAUGAUAUUUGACUCAAGCGGUAACUUAGAAUCAGUCGUUAGGAAUUACGACCUAGCUUCCGGCCUGAUUAAAUAUUUCUGCUAACUUCAACAAAAAAAGCAUUCAAUUAGUCAAAAUGUUAUUUUGUGGAAAUUUCUUAAAGAGUGUAUCUCAUAGAAGUUUACAUCAAAAGGUGUUUCCAUAACCUACUCAGAAUUGCACAAGAUCAGCUGACGUUAAGUUAGAAGAAACUCAGUGCACUUUAGAUUCAGAAGGAGAAUUCAAGUGCUGUAGGCAGAACAGACAUCCAAAUAUAGCCAUUUUUAAUGUCUCUGUUAUUCUAAACUUCUUCUGAACUUUCAGAUACAUUUUCGGGAUAAAUUCAAACUGACAGAAAAAAUAUGAUUUGUAUAAGAUAUUAAUGAAGAAAAUAUUCAGAUACAAAUAUACAGUUAGAUGGAUUCACCAGAAAUGUGCUUGCAGCUGUUUGUCAUUACAGUAAGAAACAAUAUUGAUUAAAUUAAAUCUAUGCAAGCCAUUCUCCCGUCCAUUCAGGGCUUAUAAGGCGUGACAUUUGAGAGUACGUCUCUAUUAAGCAUGAUGCUAACGAACUGCUCUGUCUUUGCUGUUGGGUGUAGGCCAACUUGUCUCAUGUCUGGCAUUAUUAUAAAAGUUGACAUUUGGAUGUUGGGACAACAAUGCUUAAUCCGAGACGCUACUGUUAGCCCACGUUCCCAACAGCAAGGAUGUCUUUAUUAACUCUACUAACACGACGCUGCCGUCUGAUGUUCUCGGUCUUGCCACAUAAGUCACCAUACGAGCAGAUGUUUACAAUUCUAAUUAUAACCCUCAUAUCUGCCCAUCUAUGUUAAAAUUAAUAAUAUACGUAUGUAGAUGUCUUCAAUCCGUAAAGUGCUAGUUGUCUGAAGGUUUGUUAAUGUCAAGUUCCAAAGACCAUCACUGAAUCACGCUGUGAUACUUUUCUGAUGUUACUUGUAAAACCAUUCAAAAUUUUAUCUUAAGAGGCUUUGUAUUUUGAAAAAAAGAUGUACUGAGUUUAUACCGACGAAGGAGUGAUGCAGCCGAAAUUCCAAAUGGUAUGUUAUUAAACUGAAUUCUUUAGAAUUUAAAAAAGAGGGUUCAGGAUGCAGCAAUACAGAAUGGUGUGUGGCAAGGUCGACCAACAUCCCCUUUUCCAUUUCACUAACAUAACUAACGCCUUGGUUGUUUCAGAGAAUGAUGACGAUGUCGACCCGACCAGGUCGCUGCUUUCAUAGUAUGCAUGUUUGGCGGUAUAACAGCGCGCCUCUCAACAGCGAAAUUAGGACGCGGGAGGCGUCACAGUGCCCCCUGCAAUAUUUGGCCAAUCACAGAGGCUACAGAAGAAACAGAGAGUGAGACGGAAAAUAGUCCGCAAGAAAACAUUGUGA
rnacentral:misc_RNA from 1 species